UGAGUUUGUUGCUUAUUUUGCUAAAUGUAGUAUAUUUUCAUUAAUUGAACAUGAUUUUUGUGUCAAUGGUCUAUCGGGUCUAGGAGUUUAGAUAUAUGUGGAGGAUGGAAUGCCUGAUAUUUGUAUUUUCUAGCUGUUUGAAAACUAGAUGACAGAGCUAGGAAGAAUUAAAAUUGUGAGCAAUUUGAGGGAAACAAAUAAAUCAAUGAUACUGUGAUUAAAUUUAGCUGGG
rnacentral:misc_RNA from 1 species